UGGGGAAUCUUGCGCAAUGCGCGAAAGCGUGACGCAGCAACGCCGCGUGGGGGAAGAAGGCCUUCGGGUUGUAUACCCCUUUCAGUUGGGACGAAGCUUCGCCGGUGAAUAGCUGGCUGGACUGACGGUACCUUCACAAGAAGCCCCGGCCAACUACGUGCCAUCAGCCGCGGUAAUACGUAGGGGGCUAGCGUUGUCCGGAAUCAUUGGGCGUAAAGCGCGUGUAGGCGGUCCGGUAAGUCCGCUGUGAAAGUCGGGAGCUCAACCCUCGAAAGCCGGUAGAUACUGUUGGGCUAGAGUACGGAAGAGGCGAGUUGAAUUCCUGGUGUAGCGGUGAAAUGCGCAGAUAUCAGGAGGAACACCAAUUGCGAAGGCAGCUCGCUGGGACGUUACUGACGCUGAGACGCGAAAGCGUGGGGAGCAAACAGG
rnacentral:rRNA from 1 species